rnacentral:rRNA from 1 species
UCCAGUGACGAUAGCUGUGGGGUUCCACCUGUUCCCAUACCGAACACAGUAGUUAAGCCCACAUACGUCGAAAGUACUUGGUUGGAAACGGCC